rnacentral:lncRNA from 1 species
GUUCAGGUAAAAUGUGUAUGAUUUGCGUGAUGUCUGUAACUCAACAUGAAUGUAUUCUCUGAACUGCCUAAGUGUUCUAUUGUCAUGAAGCUUCAGGUAACAUUUGAUAUAGAUGUCUUGUCUAUACAUCCCAGUCACAUGGCAAGGAUGUCCUCUGGUUUUAGACUUACAGUAUUAUAUUACAGUACAUAAGAGACAGGGGUUGGAGGUCGUUCUAAUACCACACUGGUUGGAGUUCAAGCAGUUCAUUAGGCUGUUGUUGCUUGUGGAUGUGUAAAGUCAACCGUCAACAUUUGAAUGAUAUGACACAACUUCUAACCAAGUCAUUUCAAACCUUUUCUAUGUUUCCAUUGCCAACUGAACAGAAUGCAUGUUCCUUGCUGUUAAACAGUGUUCAUCUAGCUCCCCAUCUUUAUAAAUUACAACUUUGAAGAAUCAAAGGCCCCAAAUAAUACACAUAAUGUUUAUUCUGUGCGUCAUAUUGUACGUACCAUAGCUCCUCCUCUGCUUAUAUAAACAACCAGGAAAUCAGGAAAUGGCAAUCCAUUUCACUGAGCGUGGAGGUGGAUGUGUCAUCUCAGAACUGAAAAUGUUUUUGUUUGAAGUGGGUUUUUGGUUGCUGUUUUGCAAGUCUAUCCAACCUACGCUGUCGAGAAUCAAGCAUGUACUUCGGUGGAAAUUGAUUGUGGAAAUUUGAAGACCAGGGAUGGUAGAUACAUGUAUCUAUACGACAUUCCAGGUGUAUCUGAGAUUGCGGGGCUCAACAUGAACGGGACUGCCAUUGCUAACAGUGGAGGGGACAAGCCAAUGGAAUUUGAUAAGAAUGAGGUGGUAACAAUGAACAACAGUUCAAUCACCCUCUAUAAAUGCCAAAAUCUGACAAUGAACUUCAUUUACAGUGAUGCUACACAGCAGAAGGCUGGAACUGAGUCUAAUGGUAAACAACCCCCAGUUAAGGAGAGAUGUUCCCAUUACAUUGUCACAGAGAUGAGGAAUGAGGUUGUGACAACUGCACCUUUGAAUUCAACUAUCAUCAAAGAUGGAGACAAUCCUGAUUCAAACCGUGGUGACACUGAUUUGAUCUGGAAAAUCAUUGUUGGUAUUGUAGCUGUUGUGGUGGUCAUUGCUGCUCUGCUCUGUGUGUUUAAACCUUGGAGAGACAAACAGUGCCACCAAGGCCACAGAGACGUGGAAGAGGGUCAGGGCAAUCCAGAACCAAACUCCAUUCCUCUGAUGCAGAAUGAGCGACGUGAUGCCAGAGACAUCAGAAAGCCUGAUGACGGUGAGACUGUUGAGGCUGUGGUUGUUCCCAGGUUAGUUAAAAUACCUCUAUUACAUCUUUAUACUCUACUCUGUCCUGGAUCAGUUUGCCUUGCUUAUCCUUACAGUCAUGGUCAUCAUGAUCUCAAUUUUAGUGACCAAGGAGGUGAGCCAGGAGAGGAGAACAGGCAGCCCAUGGACAAUGAAGAGACAGGCGCUGACACCCCUCUGCUGAAUGGAGAUGCCAGCGACCAAGGAGAGGAAGGCGUUCUAGGAAUGGAGGAUGGAAAACCGUCAGACAAUGACAGAGCAGACACUGAAACCUGUCAGAAGACACAUGCUGAACCCCCUCUAGUGAAUGGACACCAUGAUGUCAGGGUUAACAAUGAGACUAAGGAAGUGACUCCUGGUGCACAGAGUCCAGGACCUCCUCAGAUGAAUGGAGGACCUCCCAUGUUUAACAGAGCUGCAGAGGAGACCACUGCUCUAUUGGACAAACAGGCCUUGGACAAGGACCAAGUCACCAAACCUCCUGAGUUAAUAGACAAAGGACAUAAUGACAUGGAGUCAAGAAGAGGAGAACUGUAACAAGCGGUGGACGUUUGUAUAACAAAAGAGAACCUAACGCCAUAUAAUAAGAUACAGUAAUACUGUAUAUAAUAUACAUAUUAUAAGAUACACAUUUGUGACUUGCUUCAUCAUAAUCAGUCAUGUCAACCCAAAACACAUUCUGAAAAGUCUUUCAAUGAUUUUCUAAAAUCUAAGCAGUUUAUUAAGUUAAUUCUCUAUGAGACAGCUGUAACUUGGAUAAGUUAGGAAAUGUGUUCUAGUAUAUCAGUUGAAAUUACAAAACGGCCCAAAACUUUUAGAUAACUUAUCUAAAUUAUUAUUAUCUACAUGUUUAAUUACUAUUAUCUGAAAAUGAGUGUGCGACAUGACUGAUUAUGAUACAACACGUCACAUAUUAGCUAUACAACAUUAUAUAUCAAAUUAUAUGAAAGUAUGAUAAGAUCAUACACUAGUAUUGUAUAGUAUACAUACAAGCAAUUAUAUAUAUAACACACACGUGAAAAGAUGCUUAAAACAUGAACCUCUCUAGUAUUGACAUAUCCAAGAUCAUGAGGUCUCAAUGUCUUGUGGACAUGUCAAAUAGCUAAACAUUGACUAGGCGUUAUUUAGAGUAGGCCUCAUUAUCACAGGGCCCAGUCUAAGAAGCUCUGUUUUACUGAAGCAAUUAUUCAUUACUUCUGAAAUGAGAGUUAGCAUGUCAGUUAAAAUAACUUGCAUAAUUUGUCCCAUUUAACACACACCUGUAAUCCUACUUUCAGUAAAGAAAGUUCAUGUUCCAUUUUAGACUCUAGAUGAUAUUACACCAGACUUUAUUUAAACCACUGUUUUCAUAGGAAAUCAUGAUUGGUCAGUUAAAACAGGUAACACUUCAUAUGGAUGUUGUCUUUAUAAUGCAAUAUAGGAGCGUUAAUAACACCUUCUAUGCAUAAUGCAUCAGGAUGCACAACAUAGGUGCUAAUAACUGCUCAUGGACAUCUAUAACUGAAUGAAGCAUUAUCACCAGGAUGUGUAAUGCCUUAUGAAGCAAAGUAUUACUAUGCCAGAUGCCAUAUUUGAAAAGCACAUUAGGAUCGUUAUAUUAUACAUUAUGUGCUCGAUAAGUGAUUGGCCAUAUUGUAAUUUCACUGCACACCCUCUUACACCUAUGUAACUCCACCCAAGUUGCAAAAUGACACAGUUGUUCUUACCCUGUAAGCAGUCUAUGGACAAGAUAAGAAAGCAAUCCAUGCUUUGGUUUUGUUUACUGUACUUGGUCACAGAAAUGCUCAUGUUUUAGCAUUUGUGGCACAUAUCCAAGUCAAUAACCCUGAUAUAAGCAUUUUUGCAUUUCAUAUCCAAAUCAUCCUAAAGCAGGGAUCCUCAACUAGAUUCAGCCGCAGGCCGUUUUUUCUUUUUUUUCUUUGAGUGGAUGGUCAGGGUGCUGGAACCUAAUUACAAAUCAUUUGUAGACUGCACAUUAACUGCAAGAAGCCCAAACAUAUAUAAUAUUUCACCAAAACAUGAUCAUUUCAAACCCUGCUUACAUUUGUUUAUAAUCACAUAUAUCUAUCUAUUAAGCGUGGGAUUUCUUUCCAAAAUUACAAUCACUUGGAGCUGAUUUGCUGGUGUUUAAAAAAAAAAAAUUUCAGGGGAGAUUAAAAAAAUGUAAAAAAAAUUGCCAACCUGGACUCAGGGGUAGUAACAUAGUAAAAAUACAUCCGGGACUCUCCAGUUAGUAUGAUACUGUAUUAAUUAGUGGAUGUCCAUCCAUUUCGGAUGAUAUGUUACGAAUUGCAAUUUUUAUAUGUUACGAAUUUGCAAAAUGUAUGAUAUGUUACAAAUUCAAAUAUCUUGUGGUUAACGUUAGCUAAGUGGCUAGGUGGCUAACGCUAGCUAGGUGGCUAGCGUUAGAUAGGCUAGGGCUUAGGGUUACGGUUACAUUUAAGGUUAGGUUAGGUUGAAGGAUUAAGGUUAGGGGAAGGGUUUGCUAACAUGCAAAGUAGCUAAAAAGUAGUAAGUAAUUGCAAAAUUGCUAAUUAGCGAAAAUGCUAAAGUAUCUCGUGAUGAUAUUCAAACACGCAACCUUUGGGUUGUUAGACGUUCGCGUUAUAAGUCCACCCAUCCGAAACCAAAGCAUGGAUUGCUGUCUGUCUGAGCUUGUCCAUAGACUGCUUACAGCUUAAAGAAAGCAAAUAAUAUUUUGUAAUUUGGGUGAACUAUCCCUGUAACAGGAGUGCGGAACUCCUACGUGAAGUCGUUACAGUAUAGCCCUCUGACACAAUUUCCUAAAGAGUAUUUCGUGUAGGUCAUACCACUUAGCUUCAUAAUCCAUUGAGGCACACACUGGUUGAAGUAACAUUGUAUCCACAUAAUUUCAAUGAAAUUACGUUAAACCAAUGUGGAGUAGACAUUGAAUUGACGUCUGUGCCCAGUCGGAAGGCAUUAUGCUGCCAACUUAUAAUUACAUUUAUUAGCAGCCAUUAGAGCCUAUGUCGUGCAUUAUAAUGCAUAUUGCGCAGAUAAGGUGUUAUAAAUACACUUAUAACACAUUAUGAAGAGGGUAUUCAUAGGAAGUGUUACCCGCAGCUCUUGCGGAAGGAACUGUACCCAAGUCCCCACCUACUAGUGACAUUGUGAAAAAUAUCACACCUUUAGACAGGAAUUGUGUAGCUAUGUUAACAUUUGUGUUCACCGUUUCAUAAAAAUGUUUAGCACAUUGAGAGUAUCUGUCAGGUCAAAUGACUUAGGCGAAUGACAUACCCACCUACUUUGAGACCUUAUAACCUUAGUGUCAGAAAAGGUUCAUUUUCUUCCUCUUUUGAUUAUGUUAAUUUGACUUACUUGUAAUGUAUUUGAUGUCAUGUAUGUUGGUUGGUCCCAUACUUUCAUGAAUGGUUUUCGCCUAUUGCUUUUAUGGUUAGUUACCUUCCACAUGUAUUUUGAAUUAUUUCCUUAUUACAUUUUUAUGACCAAUUUACACUGAGUGUACAAAACAUUAAGAACAUGACAGACUGACCAGGUGAAUUCAGGUGAAAGCUAUUAUCUCUAAUUGAUGUCACUUGUUAAAUCCACUUCAAUCAGUGCAGAUGAAGGGAAGGAGACAGGUUAAAGAAGUUUUUUUAAGCCUUGAGACAUGGAUUGUGUGUGGGUGCCAUUCAGAGGGUGAAUGGGCAAGACAAAAGCUAUAAGUGCCUUUGAACGGGCUGUGGUAGUAUGUGCCAGGCUCACUGGUUUGAGUGUGUCAAGAACUGCAACGCUGCUGGACUUAUCACUGACAAACAGUUUCCCGUGUGUAUCAAGAAUGGUCCAACACCCAAAGGACAUCCAGCCAACUUGACACAACUCUGGAAAGCAUUGGAGUCAACAUGGGCCAGCAUCCCUGUGGAAAGCUUUCGACACCUUGUAGAGUCCAUCCCUUGAUGAAUUGAGGCUGUCCUGAGGGCAAAAGCGGGUGUAACUCAAUAUUAGGAAGGUGUUCCUAAUGUUUGUACACUCAGUGUAUAGCACUAUGCAUUUUGACUGUUGGAUUGAUAUGAUCUGCUCGUACAUUGCCAAUACAAGUGAGUGAGUUAAGACUAUUGUCUGAUGGAUACAAUUGUCCCUCAUACUCUCAUGUAUUAUUUGUAACAAACUUUCUGCAUGCAUUUGAAUGAGGAAACCUCCAUUAUUGUCAUAUCUACUUUUUUGCCUGCAAGUUUAGGAAGACUAUUCUGCAGGGUUUUGUGUUUUAUAUAAUAGAAAUGUAGAGCCUAAGAUGACUUCUUAAUAUUAAAAUAUGUGCUUCAUUCAUUUCAU